UAAAUUGAAGGGUGCAAUAGACACAUUAGGUAUCUCAUAUGAAGAUAGAGAAGUUGAUGAAAGCGAGUCAUCAAUAGAAUCAUCAGUUAGUGCUCAGUCUCCUUCUGAACUAAUUAUCAACAAUUCAACAUUAACUCAAUUAGAAGUAAGAGGCAUUUACCAACUCUUGAAUCGUUAACAAUUAAAAAAAAUAUAAAGCUCUGAAAGACACACAGAGUGUUAUGAAUAUAAUACUAUAAAAG